rnacentral:lncRNA from 1 species
AAAAAGUCUUCUUUGUAAAAAUUGCACGGGGCACUCUAUUUGGUCGCCACCAUUUAUUAUACAACUUCAGCUCAUUUCUCCUCCUCCUUCCCCUCGUUUAUUUUCUUCUUUCUUUCACUUAUUACUUUUAGUCCUAAAGUUAACCUUUUUCCAUUAGUAUUUAAAAGGUUAUUCCGUAAUUAGUUUACAAAUAUAGAAUACUAACACUACUAACAUCCCCUCUCUAGUUUGUUGCAUUACGAGAAAGAACUGUCAUUCGUGGCAAAUGGAUGCUUUUGGUGGGGAAUUCACCCGAGAUCACGUAGUAUUAGAAAUAUCAACUUGAUUCAAUUUAUUUAAUGUAGUUGCUUUGAAAACGUUGUGUAUAUUUAAUUUCAGUAUCAAGAGGUCAUGUAAUUUCCACAAUGUAAAAAGUUGUAAGUGAGU